rnacentral:lncRNA from 1 species
GGGUAGAUGGGAGGUGGGAUGGGAAGAGAAUAAAAGUUUUAGGGGAAAAGUGGGAGGGAGUAAAAAUUUUGGGGGAAAAUAAAAAGUUUUGAGGGUUUUUGAGAGUAAAAUUUUGAAAAAAAAUUAAUGGAAGAGUAAAAUUUUGGUGGGAAAUGGAUUUUGGGUAGAUUGGGGGUUGGGAGGGGAGGGGAGUAAAAGUUUUGGGGGAAAAGUGGGAAGGAGUAAAAGUUUUGAGGGAAAAGUAAAAAAGUUUGGGAGUUUAGGGUAAAACUGUAAAAUAUUAUAGUUUCA